rnacentral:rRNA from 1 species
UACGUAGGCGGAAAAUUAAGUCAGUAGUGAAAUCCUGCAGCUUAACUGUAGAACUGUUAUUGAUACUGGUUUUCUUGAAUAUAGUUGAGGUAGGCGGAAUGUGUAAUGUAGCGGUGAAAUGCUUGGAUAUUACACAGAACACCGAUUGCGAAGGCAGCUUACUAAGCUAUGAUUGACGCUGAGGUACGAAAGCGUGGGGAGCGAACAGGAUUAGAUACCCUGGUAGUCC